GGAUGAGAAGCUUCGACUAAGGUUCGACUCGAGCGUCAGCGAGAGAACGUUGCCGCAGGCAACGGCCCGAAGGGCGAGGAGCGAUAGCGACGAGUUAUCCUUCCCCCACUACUG
rnacentral:sRNA from 1 species